rnacentral:rRNA from 1 species
AAUCAACGCUGGCGGCGUGCCUCAGACAUGCAAGUCGAACGAUUAAAGCUCCCUUCGGGGAGUGCAUAAAGUGGCGCACGGGUGAGUAACACGUAAGUAAUCUACCCUCGGGUGGGGAAUAACGUCCGGAAACGGACGCUAAUACCGCAUAAUGCAGCGGCACCGCAAGGUGACAGUUGUUAAAGAUUUAUUGCCUGGGGAGGAGCUUGCGGCAGAUUAGCUAGUUGGUAAGGAACGGCUUACCAAGGCUACGAUCUGUAUCCGGUCUAAGAGGACGGUCGGACACACUGACACUGAAUAACGGGUCAGACUCCUACGGGAGGCAGCAGUCGGGAAUUUUGGGCAAUGGGGGAAACCCUGACCCAGCAACGCCGCGUGAAGGAUGAAGUAUUUCGGUAUGUAAACUUCGAAAGAAUAGGAAGAAUUAAUGACGGUACUAUUUAUAA